GGAAAUGACCUUAUUAGAGGAGCCUUGGACUAUAUUUUUCGAUCUGACUCAGCUUAGAUACUUCAUGUUAAACUGUGGUGCUACAGAGGAAAACCACAGCAUGGAAUGAGCGCAAAACUAAGUGAUCGUGCAUGGCAAGUACUCAAAAAUAUUCAUGAGUGUGAGUGAAAGGUGAGAAAGCCUUUUUU
rnacentral:lncRNA from 1 species